rnacentral:RNase_P_RNA from 1 species
CCAGGGGGCCGGGCAGCCGCGUGCGCGCAAGCGCUCGAGGAAAGUCCGGGCUCCACGAAGCAAGGGUGGCGGGUAACGCCCGCCUGGGGCAACCCAAGGGACAGUGCCACAGAGAGCAGACCGUCCCACCGUCCGCCCGCAAGGGCGCGGCGGGGGGAUAAGGGUGAAAGGGUGCGGUAAGAGCGCACCGGGGCUUCGGCAACGCGGCCCGCAUGGCAAACCCCACCCGGAGCAAGGCCGAAUAGGGAUCCCGCGCCUUCGCGAGAAGGCAGGGCGCUUCGCCCCAGAGGAUCCGGGUUGGCUGCUGGAGCCACGAAGCAAUUCGUGGCCUAGAUGAAUGGCUGCCGCCGCCGAUGCGGUCCGCUUUCGCGGAAACGGUCGGCGGCACAGAACCCGGCUUACAGGCCCCCUGGCACA